GUGGGGAAUUUUGCACAAUGGGCGGAAGCCUGAUGCAGCGACGCCGCGUGGAGGAUGAAGGCCUUCGGGUUGUAAACUCCUUUUCUCAGGAACGAUGAUGACGGUACCUGAGGAAUAAGCCACGGCUAACUCUGUGCCAGCAGCCGCGGUAAGACAGAGGUGGCGAGCGUUGUUCGGAAUCACUGGGCUUAAAGGGCGCGUAGGUGGUAGUGCAAGUCUGAGGUGGAAUCUUGGGGCUUAACCCUAAAAUUGCCUUGGAAACUGCAUUACUUGAGUCAGUGAGGGGAGGGUAGAAUUCCUGGUGUAGCGGUGAAAUGCGUAGAUAUCAGGAGGAAGGCCUGUGGCGAAGGCGGCCCUCUGGCGCUGAACUGACACUGAGGCGCGAAAGCGUGGGGAGCAAACAGGAUUAGAAACCCCAGUAGUCC
rnacentral:rRNA from 1 species